GGAUAUGAGGGCGAUCUGGGUGCAGCAUGUGUCACCCCAUUGAUUGCCAGGGUUGAUUCGGCUGGUCUGGCUGGCUAGACAUGUGUCCCCUUCCUCCCUCACCGCUCCAUGUGCGUCCCUCCCUAAGCUGCGCUCAGUCCAAGAAGACGGCCUUCCCCGAAUAGAGAAGGACCAGUCUUUGGUCGAGGAUGUAUGAGUAGCUGCACUCCCCUGCUAGAACCUCCAAAACAAGCCCUCAAGAAUUAUUCUGGGGGCCAGGAGGUGGCACACCUGGUUGAGCGCACAUGUUAGAAUGCAUA
rnacentral:snRNA from 1 species